UACAGGGGGGGCAAGCGUUGUUCGGAAUUACUGGGCGUAAAGGGCGCGUAGGCGGCCUUCUAAGUCAGACGUGAAAUCCCCGGGCUCAACCCGGGAACUGCGUCUGAGACUGGAAGGCUUGAAUCCGGGAGAGGGAUGUGGAAUUCCAGGUGUAGCGGUGAAAUGCGUAGAUAUCUGGAGGAACACCGGUGGCGAAGGCGGCAUCCUGGACCGGUAUUGACGCUGAGGCGCGAAAGCCAGGGGAGCAAACGGG
rnacentral:rRNA from 1 species